UGUUUCAACAUGAAGGUUUGUAAUAAAAAUUUGUUUCUAUCAGCAUUGCUUUGCAUUGCUGUUGCAGGAGUUUUGGGUCAAGCUCCUAGUAAUCCUCCUACGUCUACGCCGGCGCCACCCACACCACCGGCUUCUACUCCUCCUCCGACGACUCAAGCACCGCCUACACCAACCGCCACUCCGCCACCGGUUUCUACUCCUCCUCCCACUUCGUCACCGCCCCCAGUGACAGCUUCUCCACCCCCAGUUUCAACUCCUCCACCCAGUUCUCCUCCUCCUGCAACUCCACCACCUGCUUCUCCUCCUCCUGCAACUCCACCUCCAGCUUCUCCACCUCCCGCCACUCCUCCACCAGCUUCUCCACCUCCCGCCACUCCACCACCUGCAACCCCACCGCCAGCAACUCCUCCUGCUGCUACCCCACCACCAGCUCCAUUGGCUUCUCCUCCAGCCACGGUCCCAGCUAUCUCUCCAGUACAAACACCAUUGACAUCGCCACCAGCUCCGCCGACCGAGGCCCCAGCACCUACCCUCGGGGCUGCUACGCCAGGUCCAGCUGGAACUGACACGGUACAUUUUCUCUUAUUCCACCAUUUUAUAUCCUUCUUCUCCACCUACGAUCAAGCCUUUACAGCAAGACUUAAAAUAUAAUUUUAUUAAUGGUUUUAUAAUAUUAAAUUAUAAUUUUAUCAUUCUUACACAUUAAUAUAUAAUGUGAUAAAAUUUUUUACUUUGGGUACCGUGCCAACUUCCUAACGUCGCCCUUAUCUUACAUAAACAACGAUCUGAGCUUGUCUCGAUAUUAGCUAACCCUUUAGCCAUUAGAGAUGGCAAUUGGUUCCGUCCCGACAUACCUUCAACAUAAUCUGAUUUAAAAUUAAAUACGGAUAUAUCUGUUUUUUAACACAAUAUUUAAAAUUAUUUAUAAUUUCUUCUCAACUUAUAAUUAGAAGUACAAUAUUUCAGCAUAUUCAAAUUCACAUCUUCUUAUAUUGAUAACAGUAUCUCUGUUAAUCGAAUUUGACAAUAAUAUUUAUGUGAAUCGAUUUAAGGCUUAAGAUAUUAAAUUUAAUUAAGACUCAACAUUAACGACAGUAAGAUUCAAC
rnacentral:lncRNA from 1 species